rnacentral:rRNA from 1 species
CGGCCAAUCAAGUUCGUCGGGAAAUCUGCCCGCUUAACGGGCAGGCGUCCGGCGAAAACUGAUUGGCUUGGGGCCGGGAGAUCCAAGGGGUACGUCCGGGGUAGGAGUGAAAUCCCGUAAUCCUGGACGGACCACCGAUGGCGAAAGCACCUUGGAAAAACGGACCCGACGGUGAGGGACGAAAGCUAGGGUCUCGAACCGGAUUAGAUACCCGGGUAGUCCUAGCCGUAAACGAUGCUCGCUAGGUGUGGCGCAGGCUACGAGCCUGCGCUGUGCCGUAGGGAAGCCGAGAAGCGAGCCGCCUGGGAA